AAAUCAACAAUCACCACAGGCGGAUGACGUCACAUUAUCGCGAGAUGUUAGACUUCUACGUGUGAUUUCUCGCUCUCGCGGUACUUUUACCUAAUCCGGAAGUACGUAGCGACCAGCCACGCGUUACGGAGGGAAUAUUCAAACUGCUGUUCAGAGUUUGAUCAUCAUGCGACGCGAAUUGUUUGUUUUUUGGAGUUCUUUUGGAGUUCUUGGAGUGAGUCUAUCGACUUUUGGAUUAACGUUACAUUGAGGUAAGUUGAUGCUUUUAAUACUGCAGACAAAUAAAUGUACCACAUUAUUUACUCGCCAUCAAGCAAUCCGAGAUACAUGUCCAUGGUCAUCUUUCAAACAAAGACAUUUGGAGUUAUCUUGGUAAAUGUCCUCACUCUUCCAAGCUUUAUAACAAUAGAAAACUGGAACCAGGAAACACAUUCCAGAUUUAAACACCCAAAAAGUCAAUUUAUCUUUCACAUGUUAUCCACACGGCUCAAUGGGUUAAUUGGGGUAUUUUGUGGGUAAUCGAUGCGAUUUUGUAAGAAAAGUAUCUAUAUUUCAAACUUUAUACACAGAAUACAUUUAUAUACAAUAUAAAGUUAGAAUUCUAUAUACUGCAAGUAUGUAUAAAUCCUUUUUGUAUACAAUACAUUUAAUUUUAAAGGUUUACCGGCAAACAACAUACUGAUUUUUAUUUCUUAUCACUAUCAUAGAUAAUUACAGUGAAGCACGUCGGAAGCUGCCUCUUGCAGAGCAACAAACGGAUCUGCAGUCAGAGGCAGAGACUGACCCCCUGAGAGCACCAAAACGGAAAGUGAAGUAAGCUUGUGUAAUUAAUGUAAUUCUUUAAAACAGACGAGUUACAUAUCUUGUCACUGCAGUUGUAGAAAGGACCAUGUUUGUUUAGAUGUAUUACUCAUUUUCUUUUCUUCUCUGUAGAUGAAAUUGGCGUCUAUUGACGACUACGAUACAGAUGAGGAGGCCAUUGCACCGAAAAUGAAUUUGCCGCAAGCCCCAUACAUACAACCACUAUCAAAAAGAGCUUUCUCCGCUUUAGAUGAGGUUCAACCAAGUCCUCUACAACACAGACCCCAAAGGUCCCCAUCUGUGACACAGGUUCCAGGGACCUCAAAACAGGCGUUGAUGGAAAGAAGCCCUACCUCUCAAUGGCAGAACUUUGAAAGUGCUCUAGGAAAGUCGUUACGUAUUCUUUUGCAAAGAAACAUUGUACGGAUGAUUCAAGACCUGAAAUCCAACAAUGUAAGGGAGAUCACAGAGGAAAACGAACUAAGUCCCACUCUUUUUCCAGUGGAAGAUUUAAGGUCACUAACUUCUCUUGAAAAUAAUCUUCGAUCCAGUCCUGAAACAAGACGGAAAGUGGUAAUUGAACUUGGAUUGCUUGGUGGGGUGGAUGCUAAGGACACAAUUUGGCGUAUAAUGAAACGGACAAUAAAAAACGACUUUGCAAAAACGAUGAACUGAAAAGGCGCAAAUGGAAAAAAACCCAUUCCAAGGUCUUGAACUGAAAAACGUUGUGAUUGAGGCUGUGAGACGAAACCCACCAUUUAUGCACAAGUUCAUUUUGUUUAAAAUUUGCACUA